AAGGUACUCCGGGGAUAACAGGCUGAUACCGCCCAAGAGUUCAUAUCGACGGCGGUGUUUGGCACCUCGAUGUCGGCUCAUCACAUCCUGGGGCUGAAGUAGGUCCCAAGGGUAUGGCUGUUCGCCAUUUAAAGUGGUACGCGAGCUGGGUUUAGAACGUCGUGAGACAGUUCGGUCCCUAUCUGCCGUGGGCGCUGGAGAACUGAGGGGGGCUGCUCCUAGUACGAGAGGACCGGAGUGGACGCAUCACUGGUGUUCGGGUUGUCAUGCCAAUGGCACUGCCCGGUAGCUAAAUGCGGAAGAGAUAAGUGCUGAAAGCAUCUAAGCACGAAACUUGCCCCGAGAUGAGUUCUCCCUGACUCCUUGAGAGUCCUGAAGGAACGUUGAAGACGACGACGUUGAUAGGCCGGGUGUGUAAGCGCAGCGAUGCGUUGAGCUAACCGGUACUAAUGAACCGUGAGGCUUAACCUUACAACGCCGAAGCUGUU
rnacentral:rRNA from 1 species